rnacentral:lncRNA from 1 species
AUAAGAAUCAAAUAGAAAAUCAAUCAUUCAUGUUCAAACCAACUAUAAAGAUUCCACAAAAAUUCUCACUUCCCUUUUUUUGUACAUUCUCACAUCUAUCAACUUGUAAUACCAAGUAUCAAAUAGUUUGGAUCUCACUUGAUAAUCACUUCUAUCAUUUAUCAUGAAUGUCAAUAUUUAGAUAAAAAUAUACUCAAUUUUUUCUUUUAUUUAAGCUAUAGUAGACAUGUAGCUUUUCCCUUCUUCAUCUUUUUUUUUAUUUGUCUUAGUUGGACAUGUGGAAGCCCCAUGGGACAAUUGAGAAGACCCCUUUUUUUGUGGGCCUUCACUUUGUCUAAAAAUAGAAAUGAUUGAGAUUCAUAAUUUUCAUUUUUUUUUCCUCCUAUUGACAAACCCAAUUUCUUUUCAAAGUGACUACUUCCAUAGUUUCUUUAUAUUUGAUUACUUGGCACACAAAUUUUCAAGUUGUGGAAAAUGACAACUUCAAUUUCAUGAUCAUUUUGUGUACUUCAUGGUUAGUUCAACACUUCAGAUCAAAUAUUCUAAUCUAUCUUAGCCCAAUUCUCUUCAACAUACUUCAUCUACAAUAAUUUGACUAUUUUCUGCAAUGUAAGAAUCAAAAUGAUAAACAAUUAGAUUUGGACUUCCUUCAUUUCAAGUUCCAUUCAUGAUAUGUGAGAUUUCUGUCAUAUAUUCAUGUUUGAUACAUUUCUCUAAUUUUCAUGAACACAACAUCUUAAUUUAUAGAAUAAUAUCUACCUUCUCAAUUUAUUUAUUUAUGUUCUCCAAUCAUUUUUAAGUCUCUCUACCCCCCAACUAAAAUCAACAUUGUCCUCAAUGAUGUAAAGAAGUCUAAUCAUAAUAUAUCAUUCUUCAAGUUUUCAAAUCGUAAAGAUUUUCAUGAAAUUAUAGAAAUCAAAUAUAUCAAGAAGAGACAAUCUAAAAAUAAAAAUUUUAGGUAGGGUUAGAGAGAUAGCACCUGAAAAUCUUAAUUCAAUCAUCCAUUGGAUUUUCAAUCAACCACAUGUAUCCC